ACGGAAUAGAUACCCUGGUAGUCCACGCGGUAAACGAUGAAUACUAGCCGAUGGGGUGUUAAAGCCUUAGUGGCGCAGCUAAACGCGAUAAGUAUUCCGCCUGGGAAGUACGGCCGCAAGGUUAAAACUCAAAGGAAUUGACGGGGCCCGGCACAAGCGGUGGAGUAUGUGGUUUAAUUUACGAUGCAACGCGAAGAACCUUACCUACUCUUGACAUGGUGGGAAGUGGCGUAGAGAUAUGCCAGUGCCGAAACGGAAACCCGACACACAGGUGCUGCAUGGCUGUCGUCAGCUCGUGUCGUGAGAUGUUGUCUUAAGUGACGCAACGAGCGCAACCCUUGCCUCUAGUUACCAUCAUUCAGUUGGGGUACUCUAGAGGGACUGCUGGCCUAUGGCC
rnacentral:rRNA from 1 species